GACAGAGGGGGCAAGCGUUGCUCGGAAUUACUGGGCGUAAAGGGCGCGUAGGCGGGAUGGCAAGUCGGUCGUGAAAUCCCUGGGCUCAACUCUGGGGGGUCGGCCGAUACUGCCGUUCUUGAGGGAUGCAGAGGAGACUGGAAUUCCCGGUGUAGCGGUGAAAUGUGUAGAGAUCGGGAGGAACACCGGUGGCGAAGGCGGGUCUCUGGGCAUUCCCUGACGCUGAGGCGCGAAAGCGUGGGGAGCAAACGGG
rnacentral:rRNA from 1 species